CAGUAGCGUAUAUUAAAGUUGUUGCAGUUAAAAUGCUCGUAGUUGAAGUUCGGAUGCAGCAGAGCUUGGAAACGCUGUUAUGGUGCUUCCGUUGCUUUUGCUUGUCCACAGUGCGUUGCAAGUACGUAUGUGCUUGUGCGUGCAUUUUACUUUGAGAAACAUAGGGUGUUCCACGCAUGUUACGGCAUGAAUAUUCCAGCAUGGGAUAAUCUGGUACGACUUCCAAUCUGCCAUUUUGGUUCGUAGGUUGGAAGUAAUGAUUAAUAGGGACUGUCGGGGGCAUUGGUAUUUGACUGUCAGAGGUGAAAUUCUUAGAUUCGUUAAGGACCAACCACUGCGAAAGCAUUUGUCAAGGAUGUCUCCAUUAA
rnacentral:rRNA from 1 species